rnacentral:rRNA from 1 species
CAACGAGCGCAACCCUCGACCUUAGUUGCCAGCAUUCAGUUGGGCACUCUAAGGUGACUGCCGGCUAAAAGUCGGAGGAAGGUGGGGAGUGACGUCAAAUCAUCAUGCCCCUUAUGACCUGGGCUACACACGUGCUACAAUGGGCGGUACAAAGGGUCGCGAACCCGCGAGGGGGAGCCAAUCCCAAAAAGCCGCUCUCAGUUCGGAUUGCAGGCUGCAACUCGCCUGCAUGAAGCCGGAAUCGCUAGUAAUCGCGGAUCAGCAUGCCGCGGUGAAUACGUUCCCGGGCCUU